UAACUUCAUUUGAAAUUUAUAAUGGAUGAUUUUAGGUAAUUGAAAAUAAUAAGGAUGAAGAACAAUCUGCUUUCCAAGUUCAUUGGUAAAAGUAGAUCACAUAUGCAAAAAUGUUCAAUUAACUACCUUUUAACAAAUUCUCGCUAGAGAUAUUGUAAAACCAAUGUCUAUAUGGAUCUUAGACUGCAGUAAUUUUAAAGAGUGAUCCUUCUCAUUAAUAAACUAUGUUUUUAAAGAAAGCAAUAGAACAGAAAGCACCAAAACAAUUUUGGACAACUAUAGUGUAAUGGCUAAGAGCAAAUAUUUCAUUGGUAGAGAAAUCUCUGUGUAUGACCUUUGAUACUUACCAGUUGAGUGACACUGCAUAAGCAGAGUACAUUUUCCAAGUUUAUUUUAUCUUCAUAAAAUGAGAAGGGUACUUGACUAAAUGUUGCUAUUUGGAUUAGAUGAUAUAAGGCAUGUAAAUUAUUAAAUGCAAGUUUUGGCUUAUAGUAAGUACCUAAUGAGUGUUGGUUUUUAUUGUAAUGAUCCAGAUUGGUGAUGAAUGCAGCAUUUUGCUACUACUCUUUACAAUAUUUCCAGGAAAGAGAUUGAGGUUUGGAAAUCAGCCUUUUCAGCAAAACUAUAAACUCUGUAGUAACCGUAUUUGGAAUUAUAGGCAGAAAACAGAUCUGUGAGAAAUGUAAUUCUCAAGGGAUUUAUGAGAAAUUGCAGAAAAUAUAUAUUAUAAAUAAUUUCAGCUCCUUUUCUUUGGGAGGAGACAUGUAAAUCUUGAGGGAUGCAAACACGUUUUUCUUAGCCAAUGCUGAAAAGGGAAUCACAUCCAAAUAAAAAUGCCAAGAGCAAUGGUUAUGCACAAUUAAGUUUCAAGAAUGCUGGAAUUAAAUGAUUCAUCUGGGCAUAAUAUAAUCUCUAUGCCUCACAUGGUACACUUAAAUAAAUUUAAGGACAGCCAGCUAAAUAGUACACACAGCAAGCAACUCAACACCUAUAAGAUAAGAGCUAUCACUGAGUAAGUAUCACCUGACAUACAGACAAGACUCAAGAAGACAUCAACAGAGAGCCGGCAGGUGGAUGGGGUAUCAGUACUACACCAUCUGGCUGUGAGUUGGUCCACAGGAGAGCUGAGCUGGGAACAGGUGGAUCAGAUAUUGAAGAAGAGGAAACAUUGGCUCUGUUUUGUCAUCAGGUGGGCGUCUCUGGUGCUGCCUGCAGAGUGGCAGGCAGUUUAUUUGCAGGCAGCUUCUAGGCAUUUGACGUGCUGUUCAUUGCAGAUGGCAGGGGCAGUUUCCAAUUUUAGCUCAUCCAAAUUAAUUGCCUCUUUAAGGGAAAAAAAAGAAG
rnacentral:lncRNA from 10 species